rnacentral:rRNA from 1 species
GACGAACGUUGGCGGCGUGCUUAACACAUGCAAGUCGAACGGAAAGGCCCUGCUUGCAGGGUACUCGAGUGGCGAACGGGUGAGUAACACGUGGGUGAUCUGCCCGGCACUUCGGGAUAAGCCUGGGAAACUGGGUCUAAUACCGGAUAGGAGCCAUUUUUAGUGUGAUGGUUGGAAAGUUGUUUCGGUGUAGGAUGAGCUCGCGGCCUAUCAGCUUGUUGGUGGGGUAAUGGCCUACCAAGGCGGCGACGGGUAGCCGGCCUGAGAGGGUGGACGGCCACAUUGGGACUGAGAUACGGCCCAGACUCCUACGGGAGGCAGCAGUGGGGAAGAUUGCACAAUGGGCGCAAGCCUGAUGCAGCGACGCCGCGUGGGGGAUGACGGCCUUCGGGUUGUAAACUCCUUUCGCUAGGGACGAAGCUUUUUGUGACGGUACCUAGAUAAGAAGCACCGGCUAACUACGUG